rnacentral:lncRNA from 1 species
AAUAACUCAAUAUUCUUUAAAGUGCCUGAAGUUCCCAAACCUGUCCCAGAAGAGAAAGUCCCUGUUCCUAAAAAGGUGGCAGCUCCUCCAGAGAAAGUGCCUGAGGUACCCAAGAAAGUUGUCCCUGAAAAGAAGGUACCAACUGCUCCUCCUAAAAAAGUAGAGGCUCCACCUGCCAAAGUGCCUGUGGUACGUAAGAAACCCAUCCCUGAAGAACAGGUCACUGUUGAAAAAUACUUCUAUGAAGAAUAUGAGAAAUAUGAGACCUAUGAGAAGACUGAGGAGUUUCUUCAGGUAGAAGAGGGUGAAGAACCUGAAGAAUAUGAGGAAGCCCCAGAACCUGAAAGAUAUGAAGAAGCUCCAGAAGAACCUGAAGUCGAGCAAUACGAGGAAGCUCCAGAAGAAUUUGAACAGUAUGAAGAAGCUCCAGAACCGGAGGAACUUGAGUACUAUGAAGAGGUUCGGGAGACCAAGGAGAUUGAAGAAUAUGAGGAAGUGUAUGAGGUUCCACCAGCAAUAGGUAUAUUAAUCAUUUACCUGGUGUUUGUUGCUGCCCUGAAAUUGAACCUUCUUUUGAAUGCCCAAAUUUCCCCUCCCCCAAAAAUCCACCCCAGUGUUCCCUGCUUUUGUGCUUACAAGACUCCAUUUGAGGGACAGGUUUCCCAGAGUGGGUCAAACCACCUAUGCUUGUUACUGAAGAGUUCAAAAGCUAAUGAUGGGUGUGUCCUCCUUUAA